UACAGGGGGGGCAAGGCGUUGUUCGGAAUUACUGGGCGUAAAGGGCUCGUAGGUGGCCAACUAAGUCAGACGUGAAAUCCCUCAGCUUAACUGGGGAACUGCGUCUGAUACUGGAUGGCUUGAGUUUGGGAGAGGGAUGCGGAAUUCCAGGUGUAGCGGUGAAAUGCGUAGAUAUCUGGAGGAACACCGGCGGCGAAGGCGGCAUCCUGGACCAACACUGACACUGAGGAGCGAAAGCCAGGGGAGCAAACGGG
rnacentral:rRNA from 1 species